AUGGCCUGGACGGUGCUUCUGCUGGCUUACGGCUCAGAAGCUCAGACUGUGAUCCAGGAACCGUCACUGUCAGUGUCUCCAGGAGGGACGGUCACCCUCACCUGUCGACUGAGCUCUGGGUCAGUCACUACGUACAACGAACCCAGCUGGUACCAGCAGACCCCAGGCCAGGCUCCCAGAAAUGUUAUCUGCAACACAAACAGCCGCCCCUCUGGGGUCCCUGAUCACUUCUCUGCCUCCAUCUCUGGAAACAAAGCCACCCUCACCAUCACGGGGUCCCAGCCCGAGGACGAGGCUGACUCUCACUGCUUACUGGACAAGGGCAGUGGUUCUUACAGCUGCACAAGCGGCCAUCCUGGGGCCCGCCCUGAGCUGCUCUACGUGGGGCUUGGCCCCACUCGGGGGAUGGAAGGACUUGUGUCCUCGCCCUGGAAGAGGAGACCCGGGAUGCGGAGGCGGGAGCCCUGA